GCAAAACGCGAAGAACCUUACCUAGGCUUGAACUCCUACGAAUCCGGGGUAAUGCCUGGAGUGUCCGCAAGGAAAUGUAGUGAGAGGUGCUGCAUGGCUGUCGUCAGCUCGUGUUGUGAAAUGUUGGGUUAAGUCUCGCAACGAGCGCAACCCCUAUCGUCUGUUGCCAGCAUUAAGUUGGGCACUCUGACGAGACUGCCUGGGUUAACCAGGAGGAAGGUGGGGAUGACGUCAAGUCCUCAUGGCCCUUAUGUCUAGGGCUACACACGUAAUACAAUGGCGCGUACAAAGGGAAGCGAACUCGCAAGGGGAAGCAAAUCUCAAAAAGCGCGCCUCAGUUCGGAUUGGAGUCUGCAACUCGACUCCAUGAAGUUGGAAUCGCUAGUAAUCGGAGAUCAGCACGCUCCGGUGAAUACGUUCCCGGGUCUUGUACACACCG
rnacentral:rRNA from 1 species